rnacentral:rRNA from 1 species
AAAUCCGGCACUCUUAAGGUCAAGCUGUGAUGGGGAGAGGAAAUUGUUUCCUCGAGUCGUUGAUUUCACACUGCCGAGAAAAGCCUCUAGCUAGAAUUGUGGUGCCCGUACCGCAAACCGACACAGGUAGUCAAGAUGAGAAUUCUAAGGUGAGCGAGCGAACUCUCGUUAAGGAACUCGGCAAAAUGACCCCGUAACUUCGGGAGAAGGGGUGCUCUUUAGGGUUAACGCCCAGGAGAGCCGCAGUGAAUAGGCCCAAGCGACUGUUUAUCAAAAACACAGGUCUCUGCUAAACCGUAAGGUGAUGUAUAGGGGCUGACGCCUGCCCGGUGCUGGAAGGUUAAGAGGAGUGGUUAGCUUCUGCGAAGCUACGAAUCGAAGCCCCAGUAAACGGCGGCCGUAACUAUAACGGUCCUAAGGUAGCGAAAUUCCUUGUCGGGUAAGUUCCGACCCGCACGAAAGGCGUAACGAUUUGGGCACUGUCUCAACGAGAGACUCGGUGAAAUCAUAGUACCUGUGAAGAUGCAGGUUACCCGCGACAGGACGGAAAGACCCCGUGGAGCUUUACUGUAGUCUGAUAUUGAAAUUCGGCACAGCUUGUACAGGAUAGGUAGGAGCCUGAGAUACGUGAGCGCUAGCUUACGUGGAGGCGUUGGUGGGAUACUACCCUCGCUGUGUUGGAUUUCUAACCCGCACCAUUUAUCAUGGUGGGAGACAGUGUCAGAUGGGCAGUUUGACUGGG